UGACUCCCAAUCAAAUACCACGUAUUCAAACGUGGCCUUAGGGGGGAGAUGCUCCUCAGACUGUGAUGACCACUUGGGCUGCUGCUCAAUUUGAAUGUCUACUAAUUGACGAGAGGAUUGCUUCUUGCUAUUGUAGGAAAAAGCGACGAAGUUCGAAAACCCGCCCCCCCGCGCACCCCCUGGCUCUCUCUCGUCAGGCCCCGUCGUACUCGAUGGAGGGAAGGGAGAGGAGACAUCGGACGGCGAAGGCGAAGCCCAAGAAAGAGGAGGAGGAGGUCGAAGAAGAAAGGGUCCUUCCAGAUAUCGAGGAUUUCUCUGUGGAAGAAGUCCAAAAGAUCAGGGCGUCCCUGCUCAGAUGGUACGAUACGAACCAGAGAGUGCUGCCAUGGAGGAGCAGCCAACCAAAAGAAAAAGAUGGUGCCAAUGAUGAGAAGACGAAGGAGGAGGAAGAGAUUCGUGCGUAUGCCGUCUGGGUCUCGGAGGUGAUGCUGCAGCAGACUCGAGUUGCGAAGGUCAUAGACUACUACAACCGUUGGAUGCAGAAAUGGCCCACUCUUUAUCACCUCGCCAAUGCGUCUCAGGAGGAGGUAAAUGAGAUGUGGGCUGGAUUAGGUUACUACAGGCGUGCUCGUUUUCUUCUAGAGGGAGCAAAAUCAAUUGUAGAAAAGGGUGGCAAGUUUCCAGGGACAGUAGACACCCUUCGGAGGGUCAAGGGAAUAGGGGAUUAUACGGCAGGUGCCAUAGCUUCCAUAGCAUUUAACCAGGCAGUACCUGUGGUUGAUGGCAAUGUGACCAGAGUUGUCUGCAGACUUAAAGCCAUUUCUGCAAAUCCAAAAGAUUCUGCUACAGAAAAGUGUUUAUGGAAACUAGCUGGGCAAUUAGUUGAUCCCAUCAGACCUGGAGAUUUUAAUCAGGCACUCAUGGAACUAGGAUCCACUGUGUGCACAAGAUCAAGCCCAGCAUGUUCUGCAUGUCCCAUUUCUUAUCAGUGCCGUGCACUUCUGAUGUCAAAAGGUCAUGACACAAAUAAUAAAAGUCGAGAAAAGGGCACUAACCACAUCUUAGUUACAGAUUAUCCUAUGAAGGUGGCUAAAGCAAAACAAAGGCACAAUUUUGCUGCUGUUUGUGUUCUUCAAAUUAGAAAGGAAUCUCAACCUAACCUGUGGAAGAUGGACAGUGACCAAGAUGUUUUUCUCCUUAAAAGGAGACCCAAUGAUGGGCUGCUUGCAGGGCUUUGGGAAUUUCCAUCUGUUCUUCUGGACAAACAUGAGACUGAUUCAAGAUUGAGGAGGGUAGCACUGAACCAGUACUUGAAAAGGUUAUUGGGUAUUGAUGUCAUGAAGAAUUGCAAGGUUAUUAUGAGGGAGGAUAUUGGAGAAUAUGUCCACAUUUUUUCCCAUAUUCGACUACAUAUGAGCAUCGAGUGGCUAGUACUUCAUCCGAAAUGUGGAUUAGAUUCUUUAUUGCAUGGGGAGAAUCAAGAUAGUGCUGUUUGGAAAACGGUAGAUGGGACUGCCAUCAGGACAAUGGGACUAACAUCCGGCGUGAGAAAGGUAUACCACAUGAUGGAGGAAUUCAAGCAAAGCAAUUUGCAAAAAGGAAAACGAGAGGUGAAGAAAAGGAAGAAGGGCUAGAGUUCGUGAUUGCAUGCCAUGAUAAUGAUUGCUACUUUGAGAAGCUCCGAUUGCCUUCGAUGAUUUAUUGCGCAGGAAUUGGUGUUACUGCUAGGUGUCGUGGAGAAUGGCGAAUGGACAUCUCUGAUCCAGCUUCUUCACCUUAAACCUACUUUGAAUCCAUCCCCAUACUUGAUCCAAAUUCCAAACCUAUUAUUUUUCCCUCUAAUCUAAACCUAAGUCAACUUCGAAAUGCAAAACCCAAAUGCCAACCUCAACCUUGGUUCAAACCCAUGUCCAGGCCUAAAUCCAAUCUAAUACUGAACCUGCACCAUUACCCAAACCAGUAUAUAAGCUCAGACCUGAUUCCAAAUUAGAACCACUUGACUUGAAACUGAUACCGCCCUCCCAUAUGCACACAUCUAGAGCUGGCAAAUUUGAUUCUUUGAGGACGACUC